GGAGCCGGCCUGGGCCCCGGCCCCGCGCGCGGGGGACCGCGGGGUCCUCGCUCUCUCCCGAUCGCUCCCCUCCUGCCCCACCACCACCUUCCACGUGAGCGUCCAGGGGCCACGCCGACCUUGUCUGCUGGUCGGCGCGGGAGGAAAACCCAGAUGCAAGGAGAUCCAGUGACAGGAAGGAAGCCCAAAGGUUAGACACCAUCACAGAGCAUGAUCUGAAAACCGCCCAAGUCACACCCAUGCUCUGUGUGCUGCUUCCCUCCGCCCAGCUCCGUCCCACGGCCUGGUGACUCUUGCAAGUGAGCAAACAGAGUGUCUCUGGGUCUGCAUAAAUCUGAGUUUGAAGUAGCUAGAUAGAACACCAGACCCUGAGAACAAGCCUGCCCAUCCACAUCUUCUGCAAGCCAAAAUAACAUCUUGAUUGCUGCAGCUAUACUGUAAGUCUUAAAAUCAGGCGUGGCAAAUCCAGUAAUCUUAUUCCACUCUUUCAAAAUGAUUUUGGAUCAUCUGUUCUUUUGUAUUCCUGUAUACAUUUUGGUGUCAGUUUGUCAUUUCUAUAGAAUCAAUGCUGACAUCUUUUUUUGAUGGCAUUGAGUUUAUAGAUAAAUUUUAGAACUGCUGUCCUAACAUGAAGUCCUCCCAUCUGUGAGCAUAGUAUC